GCGCCUGCAAAAUGAAUUUCAAAAUCGCUUUCGUUGUUCUGUUACUAGCCGUGGCAGUUUACGCUGUACCGCGCGCUUACGGUAAUUAUUACUACGGUCAUGGCGGUCACCACGGCGGUCAUAGUGGUGAAAGUAGUGAAGAACACCAUGGUGGUCAUGGAGGAUACGGUGGAUAUGGUAAGGAUAUCAAAAU